rnacentral:rRNA from 1 species
GACGUAGGGCGCAAGCGUUGUCCGGAAUUAUUGGGCGUAAAGAGCUCGUAGGCGGCUUGUCACGUCGGUUGUGAAAGCCCGGGGCUUAACCCCGGGUCUGCAGUCGAUACGGGCAGGCUAGAGUGUGGUAGGGGAGAUCGGAAUUCCUGGUGUAGCGGUGAAAUGCGCAGAUAUCAGGAGGAACACCGGUGGCGAAGGCGGAUCUCUGGGCCAUUACUGACGCUGAGGAGCGAAAGCGUGGGGAGCGAACAGG